AAUCUUGUAGUUUAAUUUAAAAACAUUAAAUUGCAAAUUUAAUAAUGAGUAAUAUAUUCUAAGAUUU
rnacentral:tRNA from 1 species